GUGGGGAAUCUUCCGCAAUGGACGAAAGUCUGACGGAGCGACGCCGCGUGAGUGAAGAAGGCCUUCGGGUCGUAAAGCUCUGUCAUCAGGGACGAACGGCCGGUGGAGUGGAAAGCCACCGGAUUGACGGUACCUGAGAAGGAAGCCACGGCUAACUACGUGCCAGCAGCCGCGGUAAUACGUAGGUGGCAAGCGGUGUCCGGAAUUAUUGGGCGUAAAGCGCGCGCAGGUGGGAUCUUAAGUCCAUUUUUAAAGUUCGGAGCUCAACUCCGUGAUGGGAUGGAAACUGGGAUUCUUGAGUACCGGAGAGGAAAGCGGAAUUCCCCGUGUAGCGGUGAAAUGCGUAGAUAUUAGGAGGAACACCAGUGGCGAAGGCGGCUUUCUGGACUGUAACUGACACUGAGGCACGAAAGCGUGGGGAGCAAACAGGAUUAGAUACCCGAGUAGUCC
rnacentral:rRNA from 1 species